rnacentral:rRNA from 1 species
GAUUACCCGCUGAACUUAAGCAUAUCAGUAAGCGGAGGAAAAGAAACUAACGAGGAUUCCCGUAGUAACGGCGAGUGAACUGGGAUCGRGUCCAGCGCUGAAUCGUGGUGCCUCUGGCACUGUGAGGUGUAGCGUAYAGACUGUCRGYUUGUGCAGCUCCGCCCGUUCAAGUUUCCCUUGACCGGGGCUCCAKAGAAGGUGCAAGACCUGUCCAACGGGCGGCUGGCGGCACAUCUUGGCGUGUCUUGGAGUCGGGGUGUUUGUGAAUGCAGC